CUUCACGAGGCCAGUUAGUCGGCGGCAAAUCCCUGGAAUAUAUGUUAUUCCAAUCCGCAUAUCUAUCAUCUUGCUGUAAUAAAAUACAUAAAAAAUUAGGAGGAGGAAAUCGCCGAACUCCCACCCUCCACUGGGGAUAGCGGGCGGGGUAUGUCGGAGUCGAACCGACUAAAACCUAAACUAAAAUCCACGUCCGAGCCUCGCAUGAGACAGAACUCAUGAAAAGGCAAAGCGGGGAGAGUGAAGCGCUUAGUGCGGAGCACAUCUUCCCAUCACCCUCCCGCUCGGGACGCCGGGCCGGCGGUCGUCGGCGCCACGACCACCAGCCCUUUCGGUCGGCAGGCUGUCCGAAGCCCGGUUAGAUGGUUAAGCUAUUAUAUAGUUGAUACGAUACUUAAAACGCCUCAAACUUCAGAAUUUUAUGUACUUUCUAUUCUAGAGUUUAUUUACUUGUCUUAUAAAUUGGGUUAUGAACAAAAGCAUCAAGGUUUUAUUAGUCGCUUGUUUUAUACCGAAACGUCAGAAGUCCGAUAAACAACAAUAUCUUGUAUUUCAUACCAGAAAGUAAUCAUUUAUGUCAAUCAUGCGGAGCAAAUACAUGUGUCGAACAUCCUAUCUUUAAAUCGAACUAAAUGAAAUAAGACAUCAUAAAAUGUAUAGUAGAUUAUUUUUUUAGGUUAUCACGAGUCGUGGCCAUGUUAUAAAAAAACACUAUUAAUUGUUUAACUUCAUACUCGUGUCGUGUGGCAUUUAUGAGUUCUGUAACCUCAGAACCGAAAAAUAUUUUGUGAUUAAAUAAAUAAAUUUCCAUUAAAUUUUAAUUGGAAAUUGAUCAAGAAUUUAUCUUUGAUCCGUGUUAUACGUACAAGCAACCAACAUCAUGGAAAAUAGUUACCUAAAAAUCGACAGUAAUACCAAAAGCACUGCACUUUUCCUUGGAAUAAAAUUCUAGAAGGUGGCAAAUGUUUAAGCAGUAAAAAAAUGACGCAAAAGAUUGGUUCUAAUGUUACAUUGUACGUUGUAUUCCAAGAAAAUAUAAAUUAUUUAUCAUCAUAAAUAAAAAUUAAUUCUAUAAAAA